GAGAGCUCCUAGGGAGCUGAUGUCUUUUGGAUGUGGGCAGAUGGCAGGAAUUGAAGAAAGAAGAAUUUAAACGCUGGUUGAUCCAGAGCUCAGAGACCUGGCAUUGCCACGAAGGAAGGCACGGCACAAUCAGAAGUGCCUGGGGAAGCCAGAAGAGGGUGUUGGAUCUCCUGGGACUUGAAAGAGAGGCAACUGAUGUGGGUGCCUGAAAUAGACUAUGGGUCUGGGUCUGCAUAGCAUUGGUGGUAUGGUGAGCCAAGCACUCUGGAGCUGCAGUUUCCUUGUACUCAACUACUGAGGAAUUCUUGGGAAGAAGCUGCUGAGUCAUUGCUCUGUGACUGAAUCUAUAUACAAGAGAUCCAAUGAUACACAGACUCUCCAACCUCAACAUGUUCAAAGAGAGUGGAGGAAAGAGGACUGGAGUUCAAUUCCAAAAGCCCAUGGAGCAUCUACCUGUACUUCCAGUUUCAGGGGACCUGAUGGCAUCUUUUGG
rnacentral:lncRNA from 1 species